rnacentral:lncRNA from 10 species
UUGGUGGUGCUUGUCAAAGGCUUCGUAGCAGCGGCCCUGGCAGGAGGAAAGGGGUUCUGAGUUGCAAAUCAGAAACUUGAAGAUGAAAUGGCUACUACGCUGGGUAUUGCCUUUAUCUUGAAUGCCAGCCUGAUGGUCCAAGGUGAACAAGCCUUCCUGUGUUUUCUGAAUGUUCCCCCGCACUUUGCCUGCCACCAUGUAAGAUGUGUCUUUGCGCCUCCUUUGCCUUCCACCAUGAUUGUGCGGCCUCCCCAGCCAUGUGGAACGGCUGGAAAUGAUGGUAUGGAGAUGUUGCACCACGUGGUCCCUUCACUAGAGGAAGAGUGGUAUGAAUCGUGUCCGUCACUGUGACACCAUGCAGUCUUCCUGGCAGUACACAAGUUGUGAGAGUUUGCUACCAUUUUUACAUUUUUGUGAUUUAAAGUGUUGAAUAACAAUUAAUAAUGUCAUACAUACUAAA